GGUCGGGCUGCUGGCACUGGCCUGAGGUACAGGGUGGGCGGGAGGCUUGUCUGCACCGGGCUGGGGUGGCCUCCUGCGCUGCUGCUGGAGUUUCUGCUUGGCUGAAUGCAGCUGGAAGGACAGACUAGCGCGGAGAGCACCCACCAAAACCGACUUCUGACUCAGCUCCCAUCGCAGAUCACUCUGGAUCUGUUGUUGCUCCUGCAGAUGCUCCUCCACCUCCCCACAACGAGCUUCCAGCUGCUCCUCUUCCUCUUUCACCUCUGGAAUACAUAUAGAAAAGACACAUUUACUAUAAAUGACAGGCUAAGUAGACCGAAAAUGAUUUACAGGAAUCUGUGUCAGAUGUUCUACACCUGAUCCACACGAACCUGAUGACCUCGUGCUGUGAGCUCAACAUCUUUCCCUCAUUCCUGUCUCUCUUGCUUUUUACAUUUUAUUGCAACUCUGCCAGAACUCAGUUCUGUCUAUCAGCUUGUCCAGAAUGUCCUGAAUUCACAGCCUGCCUAUCAGUCCCACCCCAUGUGUCCAGACUGAGAUGAGCUCAUAAUGUGGCUAUAAAAAAUGCUGCGCUAUCCGAUCCCUAAAUCUGAUCUCUCCACUGUUUCUUGUUGAGUUCACUCUUUGCUGUCUCUGAUUC